UCGGGAGCAGCCGUGGUGGGGGGGGCGGGUGUCACGACGCUUACCGAGCAAGGGUGACUUGCGGGCCUCCUCCGGCAGAGGGGUUAUCAAGGGGGAAAAGGGUUUGGAGAGACGGAAUGAAGCGGGGGAAAAGGCGUAUAGGACUCCCCGGCUGGCGUGCAGAAGGGAGCCAGUUGUCCGGACGCAGAGGGUGGAAAUCAGGGAGGGUAGGCAUGUCUCUCACGAGGUUGGGGGUCCUUUCCUCCCUUAUUCAGGAGAAACAAGAAUGAAUAUGACUCAAGUCCGGGUUCUGGUGGUCGCAGUGGUGGGUCUGGUGGUCGUUGUUCUUUACGCCUCCAUCCACAAGAUCGAGGAAGGACACCUGGCCGUGUACUACAGGGGAGGAGCUUUACUAACUAGCCCCAGUGGACCAGGCUAUCAUAUCAUGUUGCCUUUCAUUACUACGUUCAGAUCUGUGCAGACAACACUACAAACCGAUGAAGUUAAAAAUGUGCCUUGUGGGACAAGUGGUGGGGUCAUGAUCUAUAUUGACCGAAUAGAAGUGGUUAAUAUGUUGGCUCCUUAUGCAGUGUUUGAUGUCGUGAGGAACUACACUGCAGACUACGACAAGACCUUAAUCUUCAAUAAAAUCCAUCAUGAACUGAACCAAUUUUGCAGCGCCCACACACUUCAAGAAGUUUAUAUUGAAUUAUUUGAUCAAAUAGAUGAAAACCUGAAGCAAGCUCUGCAGAAAGAUUUGAAUGCCAUGGCACCCGGCCUCACCAUACAGGCUGUGCGUGUUACAAAACCAAAAAUUCCAGAAGCCAUAAGAAGAAAUUUUGAGUUAAUGGAGGCCGAGAAGACAAAACUUCUUAUAGCUACCCAGAAACAGAAGGUGGUGGAGAAAGAAGCUGAGACAGAGAGGAAGAAGGCUAUUAUAGAAGCAGAGAAGAUUGCACAAGUGGCAAAAAUUCGGUUUCAGCAGAAGGUGAUGGAGAAAGAAACUGAAAAGCGCAUUUCUGAAAUUGAAGAUGCUGCGUUCCUGGCCCGAGAGAAGGCGAAAGCAGAUGCUGAGUAUUACGCCGCGCAGAAAUAUGCCACCUCAAACAAGGGAUCCCGCACACUGUGGAAACUGCAGUCCUGCUGCACGUGACUCAGAUGUGCACAAGACUGUCUCGAGGAACAGCCCUCAACCGGUGGGAGACAGGAGCACAGUGGCCAGAGAGGAGAGUAAAAAACCCAAACAACAAUGAGAUGACACCACACACCUAGUAUAAUGGCCCAGAUCCAGGACACUGACAACACCGAAUACAGGUGAGGACACAGAGCAACAGGAGUGCUCCUUCAUUGCUGAUGGGAAUGCAGAAGGGUGCAGCCUCUUUACAAGACAGUUUUGUCUCACUAAACUACACAUGCUCUUACCAUGUGACCCAGCAGUUGUACCCCUUGCUAUUUGUUCUAAUGAGUUGAGAACUUACAUCUACACAGACCUGCACACAGAUGCUUAUAGUAGCUUUAUUCGUAUUUGCCCAAACUUGAAAGCAACUAAGAUGUCCUGCAGUGAGUCAAUGUAUAACUAAACUGGCGUAACUUCCAGACAAUGGAAUUUUAUUCGGCGCUAAAUAGAAGGGAGUGAUCAAGCCAUGAAGUGACAUGGAGAAACUUUAAAUGCGUAUUAUUAAGUGAAAGAAGCCAAUCUGAAAAGGCUAUACACUGUAUGAUUCCAACUCUUUGACGUUUUGGAACAGGCAAAACUAUGAAAACAAAGAUCAGUGGUUGUCAAGGGUUGAGCUUGGUGUUGGGAUUGAGGGAGAAUAAAUAGGUAGAGUACAGGGGAUUUUUAAGGCAGUGAAAAUGUUCUAUAAUGGGUGUCAAACCUUUUGGCAUCUCUGGGCCACACUGGAAGAAGAAGAGUUGUCCUGGGCCACACAUGAAAUACACAAACACUAAUGAAAACUGAUAAGGAAAAGAAAGGUUUUCAGUAAAUUUACGAUUUUGUGUUGGGCCAUGUUCAUAGACAUCCUGGGCCACAUGUGGCCCAUAAGCUGCAGCUUGGACACUUCUGCAACUUACUAUGAAUAAGUAAUACAUGUCAUUAUACAUUUGUCAAAACCCAUUGAGUGUACAGCACCAGGAGUGAACAGUAAUGCCAGCUAUGGACGUUGGUUCAUGUGUCAAUGCUGGUUCACUGACUGACGGCAACUCCGAUGCAGGAUUUUGAUGGUGGGGAUUGAGGGUGCAUGGGAACUCUGUCUUCCACUCAAUUUUUCUGUAAGCCCAAAAGGGCUCUAAAAAACAUAUGUACUCUAAAAAACAUAAAGUGUUGAAAAUGAAAAAAAAAGUCUGUGGAAAAAAACCAAAAAUUCUUUCAUGUUUUUAAGCAAGGGAAUGAUAUGUUUAUGUGAUUUUAAAUCUCUUUCCCAACAUGAUUCUAAUAUCUCACUGUAUUUACUCACCUGCUUUCAACAUCCAAAACAACAUUAGGGUCCUAACUGCUUAAGCAUUUCCAAGUCAAUAAUUUACCUUACCAUGAACUGUCUGCAAACGAAUCUUUGGAAAUAGCAAAAACAUCAGUGGACACUGGUUCCACAGAAGGUGCUGAAAGGAAUACAGAAAUCUAUAUGAGGUCUUUAAACUAAUUACCUCUUCCUGAGCUCUCCAUUUGCAAACCCAUCAUUGGCUGUGGCUCCAUGCCAGCUUACAAGUUCUAAGGCACAGGUGGUGAACACAAGGCCUCCUGGCCGAAUCCAGCUCUCCGCCUUGUUUUAUCCGGCCUGGCACCUUGUUUCUAUCUGGCAGCAUUGCCGAGCUCUCACUUAACUGUAAGGAGUGGUUACAUUUUAUACUGUCCUAAAAUUACAUUUGGCCCUUUGAAGGCAACUGCGAGGCAACUGCAACGCUGAUAUGGCCCCGGGUGAAAAUGAGUCACACCCCUGCUCUAAGGCUAAUGGAUACUUGAAUACAGGCUAAGAAGCAAUUUUGUUGAAUGGAAGUAGUCUGUUGUGAAAAAUGCAGAGAGAUGGCUCUGAAAUCAGUGAAAUAAUGUUUGCUAUAAUAAGUAAUAGAGCCCUGGCUGGUGUGGCUCAGUGGAUUGAGUGCCAGCCUGCAGGCCAAAGGGUUGCUGCUUCGAUUCCCAGUCAGGGCAUGUACCUGGGCUUGUUAUACCCAGCUAGGAAAAUUAUAGCUAGGGCAUUACCCAACCCUAAAUCUGCAGUUCCUGGAACAGGGUAAUGAACAAACAUCCGGGAACAAUUGGGUUUAAAAUUCUAGCCAAAUAAGGUAACUAACCCGGGCCGCCAGAAAGUGCCCGCCAGCAGCAGCACCCACCAAUCAGGGACCCUCGCUGUUUUUAAAUAAGCCAGUAGCUAACCGCCACCUCUGCUUCUGUGUGCCUUUGCUUGCUCGCUAGAAAAUAUAAAUACCCAGUAGUCUGUAAGCCAGGCGCGACUUCCAUUUUGUAGCUCUGAGUAGCUACGUGACUCCGGUCACAGUUGGGGAAGUUCGCCCCUGUGCAGGAAAAUCUUUGGCCAUUAAAAUUUUUAUCAAUUCGGUUCCGCACUCCGAGAGUGUGUAUUUACCCGCCGAUCCUCUACAACAGGCUGUGGGCCAGGUCCUCAGUAGAGGGCACACAAGAGGCAACCACACAUCAAUGUUUCUCUCCCCCUUCCCCUCUCUAAAAAUAAAUCUUAAAAAAAAAUUAGUAAUAAAAAACGCGAUAGAUUUCUUUGUAGAUUUUAGAAAAAUAUUUAUUGUAGUAAAAAUUCACCAUAAAAUGAUGUAUGGACAUUACUGUUAAUAGUAAGACUUACCUCAAAUAAUAAAUCAGCAACCCUGGCUGGCAUGGCUCAGUGGACCGAGAGCUGACCUGUGAACCAAAGUGUUGCUGGUUCAAUCCCCAGUCUAGGACACAUGCCUAGGUUGUGGGCCAGGUCCCUGUUUGGGGGCACAUGAGAGGCAACCACCCAUUGAUGUUUUUCUCCCUCUCUUUCUCUCUCCCUUCCCCUCUCUCUAAAAAUAAAUAAAUAACAUCUCUUUAAAAUUCUUUUAAAAAGGAAUAAGUCAACAAGGACAUUUAUGAUCUUAAAUGCAAAUACAAAUGAGAGAACAUUUUUCA